rnacentral:rRNA from 1 species
GACGAACGCUGGCGGCGUGCCUAACACAUGCAAGUGGAGCGACGAACCAGGGCUUGCCCUGGGGCAAAGCCGCGAACGGGUGAGUAACACGUGGGUAACCUGCCCCGAUGACCGGGACAACCCGAGGAAACUCGGGCUAAUACCGGAUGUGCUCCUCGCACACCAGUGCAAGGAGUAAAGGAAGCUUCGGCCUCCGCUUCGGGAGGGGCCCGCGGCCCAUUAGCUAGUUGGUGAGGUAACGGCCCACCAAGGCAACGAUGGGUAGCUGGUCUGAGAGGACGAUCAGCCACACUGGGACUGAGACACGGCCCAGACUCCUACGGGAGGCAGCAGUGGGGAAUCUUGCGCAAUGCGCGAAAGCGUGACGCAGCAACGCCGCGUGGGGGAAGAAGGCCUUCGGGUUGUAAACCCCUUUCAGGAGGGACGAAGGUAGGGCGGUGAACAGCCGUCCCUACUGACGGUACCUCCAGAAGAAGCCCCGGCUAACUACGUGCCAGCAGCCGCGGUAA